rnacentral:rRNA from 1 species
GACGAACGCUGGCGGCGUGCCUAAUACAUGCAAGUCGAACGCUGAAGGAGGAGCUUGCUUCUCUGGAUGAGUUGCGAACGGGUGAGUAACGCGUAGGUAACCUGCCUGGUAGCGGGGGAUAACUAUUGGAAACGAUAGCUAAUACCGCAUAAGAGUAGAUGUUGCAUGACAUUUGCUUAAAAGGUGCAAUUGCAUCACUACCAGAUGGACCUGCGUUGUAUUAGCUAGUUGGUGGGGUAACGGCUCACCAAGGCGACGAUACAUAGCCGACCUGAGAGGGUGAUCGGCCACACUGGGACUGAGACACGGCCCAGACGCCUACGGGAGGCAGCAGUAGGGAAUCUUCGGCAAUGGACGGAAGUCUGACCGAGCAACGCCGCGUGAGUGAAGAAGGGUUUCGGAUCGUAAAGCUCUGUUGUAAGAGAAGAACGAGUGUGAGAGUGGAAAGUUCACACUGUGACGGUAUCUUACCAGAAAGGGACGGCUAACUACGUG